GACGAACGCUGGCGGCGUGCCUAAUACAUGCAAGUCGAACGCUUCUUUCCUCCCGAGUGCUUGCACUCAAUUGGAAAGAGGAGUGGCGGACGGGUGAGUAACACGUGGGUAACCUACCCGUCAGAGGGGGAUAACACUUGGAAACAGGUGCUAAUACCGCAUAACAGUUUAUGCCGCAUGGCAUAAGAGUGAAAGGCGCUUUCGGGUGUCGCUGAUGGAUGGACCCGCGGUGCAUUAGCUAGUUGGUGAGGUAACGGCUCACCAAGGCCACGAUGCAUAGCCGACCUGAGAGGGUGAUCGGCCACACUGGGACUGAGACACGGCCCAGACUCCUACGGGAGGCAGCAGUAGGGAAUCUUCGGCAAUGGACGAAAGUCUGACCGAGCAACGCCGCGUGAGUGAAGAAGGUUUUCGGAUCGUAAAACUCUGUUGUUAGAGAAGAACAAGGACGUUAGUAACUGAACGUCCCCUGACGGUAUCUAACCAGAAAGCCACGGCUAACUACGUG
rnacentral:rRNA from 1 species